rnacentral:rRNA from 1 species
GGCUAACGCUGGCGGCGUGUCUUAGCCAUGCAAGUCGAGCGGACUUAUGGGGUAACUUAUAAGUCAGCGGCGGACGGCGGAGUAACACGUAGCUAACCUACCCUCUGGACGGGGAUAACCUACCGAAAGGUGGGCUAAUACCCGAUGUAGUCAUCCUGUAUAGGGGUGAUGAAAGGUGGGCUUCUGUUUACAAGCUCAUGCUGGAGGAGGGGGCUGCGGCCUAUCAGGUAGUUGGUAGGGUAAUAGCCUACCAAGCCGAUGACGGGUAGCCGGCCUGAGAGGGUGACCGGCCCGAGGGGCACUGAGAUACGGGUCCCACUCCUACGGGAGGCAGCAGGCUAGAAAUUUGGGCAAUGGGGGAAACCCUGACCCAGUGACGCCGCGUGCAGGAAGGAGCCCUUCGGGGUGUAAACUUGCUGUCGUGUAGGGAGAAGGGUACUAAGGUGAACAAUCUUAGUACUUGACGGUACUACAGGAGGAAGCCCAGGCUAACCUCGUG